GCUUUUUCUAGGUCUCAAUUGGU
rnacentral:miRNA from 12 species